UUGAUGAAUGUGAAGCUGCCACCACAUCUGGAGCAACUCGUGCUGGCUCCUCAAUUGACAGGGACACUGCCCAGCUCCUCAUUGCCGAAAUUUGGUCCUGCCGGGAAAAGAAUGAAGACCUACAGAUAGCAGCCCGGAAAAUACUAAAAAAUGCGAAAAGUGUUGAGGUCCAGUUGAAAAAUUUACUGGAUGUUUUGGGUAGGGUGUGAAAAAAACCAAAAAAAA